UUAUUGUUUGACAUGAUACAUUUAAAAAUAUGUUUUGCGAUCAUAAAAUUUUUUAAGUAAAACCAUUUUCUGUUAAAGCAUCCAGAAAAGUUGUAAGAAUUAAAAUCUUUUGCUUGUAUUUUGAUAUAGUGGGCUUUCCAGGUUUAAAGGAGUGGAAUAGGUGUGGUUACUAGGUUAUGUAGGUUUCUAAUUCAUUGGCCAGCGUAAACAAAUUAUUCUGUCUCCACCCCUCUGUAUUGUUUCAGUGAGUAGAUAAAAGCGUCCACACACUCAUCACACUUUCGGAAAUAAUCCAUCAGAGGUAAAAAUGACUGAGGAAAAGGUGUUCAACAAUCUGGCUCAAAACCAGGAUUUAAACUACAUUAUUUCCUUGAUCAGUCUUACCAAGGAUGAUCCUCAUACAUCGUUUUUAUUGUCAAAUCUUGAAAAAAAAAAAAAAAGUCUAAAAAACUGUUUUAAUAUUAUUGAAAAAGAUUUUGACCCUAUUGGGUUUAUCGUUAAACUCAAAUACAAUGGGGUUUCAAAAAGCAAUGUUCUAGUAUCACAAUGUUUUUAUGCACGUGAGAGGCUUGUUUUGACAACCUAUCACUCAACUGGUAUUGACUCUGACUUAGUUUUUGCUAUCUUUCCAUUGAAAGAUGAUACCUUAAUUUACAAACUUAAUUCACGUCCCAUUUACUAUUGCGAAAAAAUCGAUUAUGCAUUCUUUGAACUGCCAGCGGAAGCUUUUGUCCCUUGGUCAAGCGGAUUGUUGACACGAAUUACAGGGGAUCCGAAUUACGACAAGGAAGUUCAUUUCAAAACCUACCGGAAAUUUAAACAAGUUAAUUCAACCCAUGCGACUGUAAUAGAAACCCCCAUAGAAAUGAAAAAUGGGGUUCAGAGAUCAGAAUUUUUAAUUGACCAAGUUGGUAUUCCUGGUGAUAGUGGUGCCCCAGUUGUCAAUGUAAACGGGAGCAUUGUGGGGAUUUAUCGUGGAGACAUUGCUCUUCCUAACCAAAUUACACGGUCUGGGAGAUGCAUUAACAUCAAAGACAUCCUGAUAGAUAUGGGGGAAAAAAAAAAAAAAAAAAAAGGAAAAGCAGAACAUUUGUGGGCAUAUUUCAUGAAAAUAUUAGGCCAUCUGCUCAAGACUCUGAUUUCAGCAUAGAUAUCAGCAUAGAUAUCGAAAAAAAAAAA